rnacentral:rRNA from 1 species
GACGAACGCUGGCGGCGUGCCUAAUACAUGCAAGUUGAGCGAUGAAGAUUGGUGCUUGCACCAAUUUGAAGAGCAGCGAACGGGUGAGUAACGCGUGGGGAAUCUGCCUUUGAGCGGGGGACAACAUUUGGAAACGAAUGCUAAUACCGCAUAACAACUUUAAACAUAAGUUUUAAGUUUGAAAGAUGCAAUUGCAUCACUCAAAGAUGAUCCCGCGUUGUAUUAGCUAGUUGGUGAGGUAAAGGCUCACCAAGGCGAUGAUACAUAGCCGACCUGAGAGGGUGAUCGGCCACAUUGGGACUGAGACACGGCCCAAACUCCUACGGGAGGCAGCAGUAGGGAAUCUUCGGCAAUGGACGAAAGUCUGACCGAGCAACGCCGCGUGAGUGAAGAAGGUUUUCGGAUCGUAAAACUCUGUUGGUAGAGAAGAACGUUGGUGAGAGUGGAAAGCUCAUCAAGUGACGGUAAGUACCCAGAAAGGGACGGCUAACUACGUG